UACGGAGGAUGCGAGCGUUAUCCGGAUUUAUUGGGUUUAAAGGGAGCGUAGACGGGAUGUUAAGUCAGCUGUGAAAGUUUGGGGCUCAACCUUAAAAUUGCAGUUGAAACUGGCAUUCUUGAGUGCGGCAGAGGCAGGCGGAAUUCGUGGUGUAGCGGUGAAAUGCUUAGAUAUCACGAAGAACUCCGAUUGCGAAGGCAGCUUGUUGGAGCGUAACUGACGUUGAUGCUCGAAAGUGUGGGUAUCAAACAGG
rnacentral:rRNA from 1 species